rnacentral:rRNA from 1 species
CGGCCCCCGUAACUUCGGGAGAAGGGGGGCCGGAUACGUUACAUCCUUCUCGGGUGGAAGCGUUGAUGGCCGCAGAGACCAGGCCCAAGCGACUGUUUACUAAAAACACAGGUCCGUGCGAAGAAGUAAUUCGAUGUAUACGGACUGACGCCUGCCCGGUGCUGGAACGUUAAGGGGACAGGUUAGCUGGUUUAGGCCGGCGAAGCUUUGAACUUAAGCGCCAGUAAACGGCGGUGGUAACUAUAACCAUCCUAAGGUAGCGAAAUUCCUUGUCGGGUAAGUUCCGACCUGCACGAAUGGCGUAACGACUUGGGCGCUGUCUCAACCGUGGACUCGGCGAAAUUGCAUUACGAGUAAAGAUGCUCGUUACGCGCAGCAGGACGGAAAGACCCCGGGACCUUUACUACAACUUGGUAUUGGUGGUCGGUACAACUUGUGUAGGAUAGGUGGGAGACUUUGAAGCUCGGACGCCAGUUCGGGUGGAGUCAUCGUUGAAAUACCACUCUGGUUGUUCUGGCUGUCUAACUUAGGUCCAUUAUCUGGAUCAGGGACAGUGCCUGGUGGGUAGUUUGACUGGGGCGGUCGCCUCCUAAAAGGUAACGGAGGCGCUCAAAGGUUCCCUCAGCCUGGUUGGCAAUCAGGUGUCGAGUGUAAGUGCACAAGGGAGCUUGACUGUGAGACAGACAUGUCGAGCAGGGACGAAAGUCGGAACUAGUGAUCCGGCGGUGGCAUGUGGGAGCACCGUCGCUCAACGGAUAAAAGGUACCCCGGGGAUAACAGGCUGAUCUUCCCCAAGAGUCCAUAUCGACGGAAUGGUUUGCACCUCGAUGUCGGCUCGUCGCAUCCUGGGGCUGGAGUAGGUCCCAAGGGUUGGGCUGUUCGCCCAUUAAAGCGGCACGCGAGCUGGGUUUAGAACGUCGUGAGACAGUUCGGUCCCUAUCCGCUGCGCGCGCAGGAGAAUUGAGAAGGGCUGCCCCUAGUACGAGAGGACCGGGGUGGACGAACCUCUGGUGUGCCAGUUGUUCCGCCAGGAGCACGGCUGGUUGGCUACGUUCGGAAGUGAUAACCGCUGAAAGCAUCUAAGCGGGAAGCACGCUUCAAGAUGAGUUCUCCCACCGGGUUAACCGGGUAAGGCCCCCAGUAGACCACUGGGUUGAUAGGCCAGAGGUGGAAGCACCGUAAGGUGUGGAGCUGACUGGUACUAAUAGGCCGAGGGCUUGUCCC